rnacentral:rRNA from 1 species
GAUGAACGCUGGCGGCGUGCCUAAUACAUGCAAGUCGAGCGAACGGACGAGAAGCUUGCUUCUCUGAUGUUAGCGGCGGACGGGUGAGUAACACGUGGAUCACCUACCUAUCAGACUGGGAUAACUUCGGGAAACCGGAGCUAAUACCGGAUAAUCUUUUGAACCGCAUGGUUCAAAAGUGAAAGACGGUCUUUCUGUCACUUAUCGAUGGAUCCGAGCUGCAUUAGAUAGUUGGUAAGGUCACGGCCUACCAAGGCAACGAUGCAUAGCCGACCUGAGAGGGGGAUAGGCAACACGGGAACGGAGACACGGUCAAGACGCCUACGAGAGGCAGCAGUAGGGAAUCUUCGGCAAUGGGCGAAAGCCUGACGGAGCAACGCCGCGUGAGUGAUGAAGGUCUUCGGAUCGUAAAACUCUGUUAGUAGGGAAGAACAGAUGUGGAAGUAACUGUGCACAUAUUGACGGUACCUAAUCAGAAAGCCACGGCUAACUACGUG